CUGGGAAGAAAGAGAGGAGUUCAGGCCUUUUGUGGGCUAAACAACUCCCACUAGGCUGAACGUCUUAAGGCUGCACCACGAGUCAAUGGCACUGUGAUAGGGAAAACAAGCUUUCCACAUGGAAGUUUAGAAGUACCUGCCAACCUAUAGCAACGGGGGACUCCAGCCUGUCCUCUCUCACAUUCUCCUUCACAUCCAGCACAUCUUCACCAGAGCUGGACUUUUGACCAACAGAAGUUCCUGAGACCCUAGCAGGUGCUUGGGCUCUGGCUUGCACAGAGAUGAGUGCAUCAAAGAAGCAGCUUAAACAUCUCUGCGAGAGAACUCUGGGUGUGAGCCCUCAUGAAAUACUCGUUUACAAGGACUGCACUUGGAACUGCACAUUUGUAUAUACUGCCCUCGUGCCUCUUGAAACCCCAAGAAGCCCUGGAACCGGGAAAACUAAUAGUUUCUAUUUUACUAAUUGCUGUAAUGGUAUGCAUUGCAAUGUAGGAGGACCUACUAACAUGGAGAGGGACUUAAUAGAUGACACUGUACUUGAGAAUGAUCUACUAGAUGGGACGGAAUGUUGGAUGACAUCAGCCUUCUUCCCGAUUUUCGCCUCCAUCAUAGCCAGCAAUACACAGACAUGAGAACCCUCUGUGGAGGAGUCUGUUAGCCUUCCCUUUCCCUCAGAUCAGUUUUGCUCUCCUUUGUCCCCGUGAUACAUUGCCAAGCUCCCAGUUGACCCAUUUAUGGUUCACUGUCAGCACAAAAUAAAGUCAUUGUUGAAAACAUUCAUGAACAGUUGUUUACUUCCAUGUACUUGGGCAAUCACACUGGUGUUUCUCCUUUUCUUUCCUUUACUGCACAC
rnacentral:lncRNA from 1 species